rnacentral:rRNA from 1 species
GACAGAGGAUGCAAGCGUUAUCCGGAAUGAUUGGGCGUAAAGCGUCUGUAGGUGGCUUUUCAAGUCCGCCGUCAAAUCCCAGGGCUCAACCCUGGACAGGCGGUGGAAACUGCCAAGCUGGAGUACGGUAGGGGCAGAGGGAAUUUCCGGUGGAGCGGUGAAAUGCGCAGAGAUCGGGAGGAACACCCGUAGCGAAGGCGGCACUCUGGGCCGGUACUGACGCUGAUGCGCGAAAGCUAGGGUAGCAAACGGG